UGCAAAACGCCUCAAGCUCCUUUACUAAUC
rnacentral:piRNA from 1 species